UGCUUUCACUAUGUGCUUGAAAGCCCUAGUAACCAUCUCAUGGAUGCAAAGUGAUUGUAUGUGAGGAAGCUCAUCUGCCAGUUCAACCUGAUUUCAACAAGACCAGAACCAAUAAAAUUAGAAUAUUUUACUUAAAACAUGUGAAAGUAUGAAAAUUUUCUAUGAAAUCACUCUUUUCCAAAAGCAUUUUACAACUACAAAAUAAUUUUUACCUGGCAGUAUGCCUCCCAAAGAAAUAUUUAUGACUUGCAUGAUUUGGUUUAAAUUAGAUGGUUGCUUAAAAUGAAUUAUAUAUAUAUACCAAACUAACACACAGAGAGAGAAUGAUU
rnacentral:misc_RNA from 1 species